AUGGGUAUGUUAAGAUGUGGCUACUUUAUCCAAUCUGUAGAUCUUUUUUUUUUUACGGUCAGACAUUUAAUCAAAUCUUUGUAACCAAUCACAGGCAUGUAUAUUCUCCAAAGUAUAUUUCAUAAGUAUUUUAAAUUUUAGAGUUUCAGAAGGACAUUCUUCUAAAAGUCAGAAAUAUCGGAAGGAUUGAUAGGCUUCCACGCAUGCAGUCAGUCUGCAAGCACACCAGCGGCCAGCAUCUGUUCGCUUCUCAUCAGCAUUCCUGGCAUGUUCACCAUGACAGGAACUAAGCACUUCUGUGAGCUCCUCACUGCAGGGGGGACUCUAAUUCCAGACCGGUGACCCUCUCCAUGUGUGGCGAGUGUGAGUCUCACUAGCUAUCCUGCUGCUGUAACUGCUAGGAAUGGCAGUUUUACAAAGCUGCUGGUCCCAGAACAGCCCACAGAGAGAGGGGGAGUAAGGACACCACUACUCUACUGCUGUGUGUGUGUGUGUGUGUGUGUGUGUGUGUAAAUAGGGUCCGAGAAAACAGCACAAAGAAAAAAACAGCACCUUGUUGCAGUAGAUGUGCUAUGUGUCUGUCAAUGUCUAAAUCAAUGCAAAUGACAAAAACACACAAUACCUAUACAACAUGCAAUACCAUCCAAAACUGUUGCCACCAUUGGUAAAGAUGAGAUAAAAAGGCUAUGAGAAAAAGGCUAUGAGAAAAUGUGUUUUUUAUCAGCUUGAUGUUGCACUCUUGCACACUUGAAAAAAAUUUGUUCACAGAAAAUAAAUAUUUUCUCAACAACAUGUUUGCUGUAAUUAUCCAUGAAAUUCUUAUGAAAAACUCAAAUAGAAUUAUAUUGUGAUUAUAUUCUGCUUUUUAUGUUCAUUAGAGUCUUCAGGAACACUGUUGACUUCCUGUUCCUCUUGGGU